UCUUGGUUUAUGUGUUUCUUUUUUCAUUGGCUUUACUAUUUCUCUUUAAAUUUUUGUUCGUUUCAGGAUUCCCAAAUCUGUUCUCAGUACCCAUCCAUUUGUUCUUACAACAUUAUCAAGCUUGAAUUCUGAGUUUCUUUCUGAGGCAUCUGUAAAUGCCAAAACAAGAAAUUAAAGGGGAUCUUGAUCAUGGUAAGAGGAUAUUGCAGUGCUCUUAACAAAAUCCAACCUGGUGCCAUAUCCAAGGUAUGUUUAUUCUAUUCUAUUUUCCAUGGAAUCAGUCAUAUUCUAUGCUCAUCUGGUUUCACAUUGUUCUUAUUGAUUAUCACGACUAAUUGUUGGACUUGAAUUGGUUUAUUAGGUGGUUGAAGCCCCCAGUGAUGUUGAUGUUUUUCCUGAUGGAAAAGCACUAUCUAUGUAUCAAUACUUUGAAAAUGUGAGGAACUUUCUUGUUGCUCUUGAGAGAUUGGGGCUUCCCACUUUUGAAACUUUUGAUUUGGAACAGGAAGGAGGCAUAGAUGUUUGGGAGCAUGCAUAUUACUUACAGGAAGUGAAUCAAGAGAGUGAAAUUUCAUCGCCAAAAGAGUUAGGAAGUAGGUCUUCUAGAGCAAGCAAUAGAGCAGCAUGAAAUAUGAUGGAGAUUUUAUGUAUUAAGAGUUACAUGUUAUGACAUUUAUAGUUGAAAACAUAUGUUAUGUUUGAUACUUUGUAUAAGAGUUAUUACUUUUGAUUUCUAAUACUAAAAAA